GACGUAGGGCGCGAGCGUUGUCCGGAAUUAUUGGGCGUAAAGAGCUCGUAGGCGGUGUGUCGCGUCGGCCGUGAAAACCUGUAGCUUAACUGUGGGCUUGCGGUCGAUACGGGCAUCACUGGAGUUCGGCAGGGGAGACUGGAAUUCCUGGUGUAGCGGUGAAAUGCGCAGAUAUCAGGAGGAACACCGGUGGCGAAGGCGGGUCUCUGGGCCGAUACUGACGCUGAGGAGCGAAAGCGUGGGGAGCGAACAGG
rnacentral:rRNA from 1 species